CAGCAGCCGCGGUAAUACGUAGGGUGCGAGCGUUAAUCGGAAUUACUGGGCGUAAAGUGUGCGCAGGCGGCGUCGCAAGUCGAGUGUGAAAGCCCCGGGCUUAACUUGGGAAUUGCGCUCGAAACUACGGUGCUGGAGUAUGGCAGAGGAAGGUGGAAUUCCACGUGUAGCGGUGAAAUGCGUAGAGAUGUGGAGGAACACCGAUGGCGAAGGCAGCCUUCUGGGCCAAUACUGACGCUCAUGCACGAAAGCGUGGGGAGCAAACAGG
rnacentral:rRNA from 1 species